rnacentral:rRNA from 1 species
UACAGAGGGUGCUAGCGUUGUUCGGAAUCAUUGGGCGUAAAGGGCGUGUAGGCGGUUUGUUAAGUCAUGUGUGAAAUCCCUCGGCUCAACCGGGGAACGACGCAUGAAACUGGCAAGCUAGAGUACCAAAGAGGGGGGUGGAAUUCCCGGUGUAGCGGUGAAAUGCGUAGAUAUCGAGAGGAUCACCUGUGGCGAAGGCGGCCCCCUGGUUGGAUACUGACGCUGAGACGCGAAAGCGUGGGGAGCAAACAGG